rnacentral:lncRNA from 1 species
UAAAAAAAAUUUACAACGAGAAUAACUCGGCUUUUAUGGCCACGUUACAACCCUCUAAUUUCUUUUUUUUUUUUUUUGUUGUCUUGCUAUUUGGCUUUUCUGUUGUUGCAUGUGGUUUUUCAUUUUGUAGGUGUCUAAGGUCGACGGCGGUGGCAGAAGGCGUGCGUGAGAAGGCUGGUGGCUAGGGGGAACCUAGGUGCGGCACCGAUGGUUUUCUUUUCUUUUUUUGUCAUCUUUUGCUGUUGAUUUUAGGUUUAGUUGAGGCUAGGAUUUGGUUGGAUUUGGGCUAUUUGGGCCAAUUGUAAAAUGGGUGUACUGUUUUAAUUAUUUCGGACCUUUUAUUAUUGGGUUUUAUUUAUUGUUAUUGGGCAGGGCAGAAUUUGGGUUUUAC